rnacentral:rRNA from 1 species
GUGAACGCUGGCGGUAGGCCUAACACAUGCAAGUCGAACGGCAGCACAGUAAGAGCUUGCUCUUACGGGUGGCGAGUGGCGGACGGGUGAGGAAUACAUCGGAAUCUACUUUUUCGUGGGGGAUAACGUAGGGAAACUUACGCUAAUACCGCAUACGACCUACGGGUGAAAGCAGGGGAUCUUCGGACCUUGCGCGAUUGAAUGAGCCGAUGUCGGAUUAGCUAGUUGGCGGGGUAAAGGCCCACCAAGGCGACGAUCCGUAGCUGGUCUGAGAGGAUGAUCAGCCACACUGGAACUGAGACACGGUCCAGACUCCUACGGGAGGCAGCAGUGGGGAGUAUUGGACAAAGGGCGCAAGCCUGAUCCAGCCAUACCGCGUGGGUGAAGAAGGCCUUCGGGUUGUAAAGCCCUUUUGUUGGGAAAGAAAAGCAGCAGGUUAAUACCCCGCUGUUCUGACGGUACCCAAAGAAUAAGCACCGGCUAACUUCGUG